rnacentral:rRNA from 1 species
GACGAACGCUGGCGGCGUGGAUUAGGCAUGCAAGUCGAACGGUAUCAUCCUUUCGGGGGUGAGAGAGUGGCGAACUGGUGAGUAACACGUAGGUUAUCUACCCUCAAGACGGGGACAACCCAGGGAAACUUGGGCUAAUACCGGAUGUGAGCAACUUUUAGUUGUUUGAAAGGUGGCGUAAGCUGUCGCUUGGGGAUGAGCCUGCGUCCUAUUAGUUAGUUGGUGAGGUAACGGCUCACCUAGGCAAUGAUAGGUAGGCGGCCUUAACGGGUGGUCGCCCACACUGGGAUUGAGAUACGGCCCAGACUCCUACGGGAGGCAGCAGUCGAGAAUAGUCUACAAUGGUCGGAAGACUGAUAGUGCGACGCCGCGUGAACGAUGAAUCCCUUCGGGGUUAAAGUUCUUUUAUAUGUGAGCAGUGCUUCUUAUAUUAACAGUAUGGGGAGAGAGAUAUUAGCAUAUGAAUAAGCAACGGUAACUCCGUGCCAGCAGCCGCGGUAAACUCGU